rnacentral:rRNA from 1 species
CGCUGGCGGCGUGCUUAACACAUGCAAGUCGAACGGUGAACCUGCUUCGGUGGGGGAUCAGUGGCGAACGGGUGAGUAACACGUGGGCAACCUGCCCUCAGCUCUGGGAUAACUCCAAGAAAUUGGGGCUAAUACCGGAUAUGACCGCUGACCGCAUGGUCUGGUGGUGGAAAGAUUUAUCGGCUGGGGAUGGGCCCGCGGCCUAUCAGCUUGUUGGUGGGGUAGUGGCCUACCAAGGCGACGACGGGUAGCCGGCCUGAGAGGGUGACCGGCCACACUGGGACUGAGACACGGCCCAGACUCCUACGGGAGGCAGCAGUGGGGAAUAUUGCGCAAUGGGCGAAAGCCUGACGCAGCGACGCCGCGUGGGGGAUGACGGCCUUCGGGUUGUAAACCUCUUUCAGCAGGGACGAAGCGAAAGUGACGGUACCUGCAGAAGAAGCACCGGCCAACUACGUGCCAGCAGCCGCGGUAAUACGUAGGGUGCAAGCGUUGUCCGGAAUUAUUGGGCGUAAAGAGCUCGUAGGCGGUUCGUCGCGUCGGCUGUGAAAUCCCGAGGCUCAACCUCGGGCCUGCAGUCGAUACGGGCGGACUUGAGUUCGGCAGGGGAGACUGGAAUUCCUGGUGUAGCGGUGAAAUGCGCAGAUAUCAGGAGGAACACCGGUGGCGAAGGCGGGUCUCUGGGCCGAAACUGACGCUGAGGAGCGAAAGCGUGGGGAGCGAACAGGAUUAGAUACCCUGGUAGUCCACGCCGUAAACGUUGGGCGCUAGGUGUGGGGCUCAUUCCACGAGUUCCGUGCCGCAGCUAACGCAUUAAGCGCCCCGCCUGGGGAGUACGGCCGCAAGGCUAAAACUCAAAGGAAUUGACGGGGGCCCGCACAAGCGGCGGAGCAUGUUGCUUAAUUCGAUGCAACGCGAAGAACCUUACCUAGGCUUGACAUGCACGGAAAUCCUCCAGAGAUGGUGGGUCCGUAAGGGCCGUGCACAGGUGGUGCAUGGUUGUCGUCAGCUCGUGUCGUGAGAUGUUGGGUUAAGUCCCGCAACGAGCGCAACCCUCGUUCUAUGUUGCCAGCACGUGAUGGUGGGGACUCAUAGGAGACUGCCGGGGUCAACUCGGAGGAAGGUGGGGGAUGACGUCAAAUCAUCAUGCCCCUUAUGUCUAGGGCUGCAAACAUGCUACAAUGGCCGGUACAAAGGGCUGCGAUACCGUGAGGUGGAGCGAAUCCCAAAAAGCCGGUCUCAGUUCGGAUUGGGGUCUGCAACUCGACCCCAUGAAGUUGGAGUCGCUAGUAAUCGCAGAUCAGCAACGCUGCGGUGAAUACGUUCC